GAGAUCAUCUUGUGGCGGCGGCAGUGCAUGCGUACCAUCCGGGAACUUCGCACCCAAAAGCGGCACAUAUACUACCUUGACAAGACAUGUGUCAACGCUGGACAUACCAAGGAAAAGGUCUGGGAGGACGUGAACGUUACACGCGAGGAUGAGUUUCGGGAAGGGCUCACAACAGGCCUUCGCGCACCCAGCGGCAAAGGUGGCAGGCUGAUCCUAUUGCACGAAGAUAGCGAGGAUGGCUUCGUAAAUGGUGCUUGCCUCGUCUUCCGAGCAGCGAAAGCAGCUGGUGACUGCCACAAAUAAAUGGUUGGGCCACGGUU
rnacentral:lncRNA from 1 species